GUGCAAAAGUAAUUGUGGUUUUUGUCAUUUAAAACUAAUGGCAAAAACCGCAAUUAUUUU
ensembl:miRNA